rnacentral:rRNA from 1 species
UACGUAGGGUGCAAGCGUUGUCCGGAAUUAUUUGGGCGUAAAGGGGCUCGUAGGCGGUCCAUCGCGUCGGGGAGUGAAAAGCUGGGGACCUUGAACCCCAGUCCUGCUUCCGAUACGGGUGGACUAGAGGUAGGUAGGGGAGAACGGAAUUCCUGGUGUAGCGGUGAAAUGCGCAGAUAUCAGGAGGAACACCGGUGGCGAAGGCGGUUCUCUGGGCCUUACCUGACGCUGAGGAGCGAAAGCAUGGGGAGCAAACAGG